rnacentral:rRNA from 1 species
CUGAGGGAUAGCCCAUAGAAAUGUGGAUUAAUACCUCAUAGUUCUUUUGUUCCGCAUGGGAUGAAAGAUAAAGCUCCGGCGGUUAUAGAUGGGCAUGCGUGACAUUAGCUAGUUGGUAAGGUAACGGCUUACCAAGGCUACGAUGUCUAGGGGUUCUGAGAGGAUGAUCCCCCACACUGGUACUGAGACACGGACCAGACUCCUACGGGAGGCAGCAGUGAGGAAUAUUGGUCAAUGGGCGCAAGCCUGAACCAGCCAUCCCGCGUGCAGGAUGAAGGCCCUAUGGGUC